rnacentral:tRNA from 1 species
AUAAAGCCUUAGUAGUAUAAUCAAUAUACUGGUCUUG